rnacentral:rRNA from 1 species
UGGUCAAGUUAUUAAGGGUGCAGGGCGGAUGCCUUGGCACUAGGAGCCGAUGAAGGACGUGAUAAGCUGCGAUAAGCUUCGGGGAGUUGCACGUAAACUUUGAUCCGAAGAUUUCCGAAUGAGGAAACUCACUUAGAGUAAUGUCUAAGUAUCAUUAAGUGAAUACAUAGCUUAAUGAGGGGAACUCAGGGAACUGAAACAUCUAAGUACCUGAAGGAAGAGAAAGAAAUUCGAUUCCGUAAGUAGCGGCGAGCGAACGCGGAUUAGCCCAAACCAAUAAAGUUUUCUUUAUUGGGGUUGCGGACAUAUCAUAACGAAGAGGUAUCGUAAUUGAAGAGGUUUGGAAAGACCCACCACAGAAGGUAAUAGUCCUGUAUGUUAAACGAGAAGACUUCAGAUAUGAUCCAGAGUACCACGGGACACGUGAAACCCUGUGGGAAGCAGGAGGGACCACCCUCCAAGGCUAAAUACUACCUAGUGACCGAUAGCGUAUAGUACCGUGAGGGAAAGGUGAAAAGAACCCCGGGAGGGGAGUGAAAUAGAACCUGAAACCCUGCACUUACAAGCUGUGGAAGCACAUUUCUUGUGUGACCGCGUACUUUUUGUAGAACGGGCCAACGAGUUACGUUAAGUAGCAAGGUUAAGCACUUAAGGUGCGGAGCCGUAGCGAAAGCGAGUUUUAACUGAGCGUUCAGUUACUUGACGUAGACCCGAAACCGGGCGACCUACCCAUGAGCAGGAUGAAGCGAAAGUAAAAUUUCGUGGAGGUCCGAACCCACGAGCGUUGAAAAGCUCGGGGAUGACUUGUGGGUAGCGGUGAAAUUCCAAUCGAGCCCGGAGAUAGCUGGUUCUCCCCGAAAUAGCUUUAGGGCUAGCCUCAAGGUGAGAGAUACGGAGGUAGAGCACUGAAUGUCCUAGGGGGUAUUGCACCUACCGAAGACUAUCAAACUCCGAAUGCCGUCAUCUUAUACUUGGGAGUCAGACUGUGGGUGAUAAGAUUCAUAGUCGAAAGGGCAACAGCCCAGAUCGUCAGCUAAGGUCCCUAAAUGUAAGUUAAGUGGUAAAGGAUGUGGGAUUGCACAGACAACCAGGAUGUUGGCUUAGAAGCAGCCACUCAUUCAAAGAGUGCGUAAUAGCUCACUGGUCGAGUGAUCCUGCGCCGAAGAUUUCCGGGGCUAAAACUUACUACCGAAGCUACGGCAUCAGUAAUGAUGGGUAGGGGAGCUUCCCAUACGGGUUGAAGCAUGACCGUAAGGACAUGUGGACAGUAUGGGAGUGAGAAUGUUGGCAUGAGUAGCGAGAUGUGGGUGAGAAUCCCACAGGCCGUAAACCCAAGGUUUCCAGGGGAAGGUUCGUCCGCCCUGGGUUAGUCGGGACCUAAGCUGAGGCCGAAAGGCGUAGGUGAUGGACAACAGGUUGAUAUUCCUGUACUACCGAUAACCGUUUGAGAGAAGGGAUGACACAGUAGGAUAAGCUAAGCACACUGUUGGUUAUGUGUGCCCAAGCAUUGAGGCAGUCAAAGUAGGCAAAUCCGCUUUGAUAAUGCUGGGAUGUGAUGGGGAGCGAAAUUUAGUAGCGAAGUAGCUGAUUUCACACUGUCAAGAAAAGUCUCUAUCGAGGUUAAAGGUACCCGUACCGCAAACCGACACAGGUGGGUGAGGAGAGUAUCCUAAGGCCAGCGAGAGAACUGUUGUUAAGGAACUCGGCAAAAUGACCCCGUAACUUAGGGAUAAGGGGUGCCACCAUCAGGUGGCCGCAGAGAAUAGGCCCAAGCGACUGUUUACCAAAAACAUAGGUUUCUGCUAAGUCGCAAGACGAUGUAUAGGAGCUGACGCCUGCCCGGUGCUGGAAGGUUAAGGGGAUCUGUUAGAGCAAUCGAAGCAGUGAACUUAAGCCCCAGUAAACGGCGGCCGUAACUAUAACGGUCCUAAGGUAGCGAAAUUCCUUGUCGGGUAAGUUCCGACCCGCACGAAAGGCGUAACGAUUUGGGCACUGUCUCAACAACAGACUCGGUGAAAUUGUAAUUCCGGUGAAGAUGCCGGAUACCUGCGACAGGACGGAAAGACCCCAUGGAGCUUUACUGUAGCUUGACAUUGGGUCUUGGUACUACAUGUACAGGAUAGGUGGGAGGCUUUGAAACCAGGACGCCAGUUUUGGCGGAGCCAUCCUUGGGAUACCACCCUUGUAGUACUGGGACUCUAACCAUAGGCCAUGAAUCUGGUCUUGGGACACUGUCAGGUGGGCAGUUUGACUGGGGCGGUCGCCUCCCAAAAGGUAACGGAGGCGCUCAAAGGUUCUCUCAGUACGGUCGGAAAUCGUACGUAGAGUGUAAAGGCAAAAGAGAGCUUGAUUGCAAGACAUACAGGUCGAGCAAGGAUGAAAAUCGGACUUAGUGAUCCGGUGGUUCUGCGUGGAAGGGCCAUCGCUCAACGGAUAAAAGCUACCCUGGGGAUAACAGGCUUAUCUCCCCCAAGAGUCCACAUCGACGGGGAGGUUUGGCACCUCGAUGUCGGCUCAUCACAUCCUGGGGCUGUAGUAGGUCCCAAGGGUUGGGCUGUUCGCCCAUUAAAGUGGUACGCGAGCUGGGUUCAGAACGUCGUGAGACAGUUCGGUCCCUAUCCGUCGCAGGCGUAGGAAAUUUGAGAAGACCUGUCCUUAGUACGAGAGGACCGGGAUGGACGUACCUCUGGUGUACCAGUUGUCCUGCCAAGGGCAUGGCUGGGUAGCUAUGUACGGAAUGGAUAAGCGCUGAAAGCAUCUAAGCGCGAAGCCAACUUCAAGAUAAGAUUUCCCACCGCAAGGGUAAGACCCCAGAAAGACUAUCUGGUUGAUAGGUCGAAGGUGUAAGUGCAGCAAUGUAUUUAGCUUAUCGAUACUAAUAGGUCGAGGACUUGACC